rnacentral:rRNA from 1 species
GAUGAACGCUAUCUACAGGCUUAACACAUGCAAGUCGAGGGGAAACGACAUCGAAAGCUUGCUUUUGGUGGGCGUCGACCGGCGCACGGGUGAGUAACGCGUAUCCAACCUGCCCACCACUUGGGGAUAACCUUGCGAAAGUAAGACUAAUACCCAAUGAUAUCCCACGAAGGCAUCGGAAUGGGAUUAAAGAUUUAUCGGUGAUGGAUGGGGAUGCGUCUGAUUAGCUUGUUGGCGGGGUAACGGCCCACCAAGGCUACGAUCAGUAGGGGUUCUGAGAGGAAGGUCCCCCACAUUGGAACUGAGACACGGUCCAAACUCCUACGGGAGGCAGCAGUGAGGAAUAUUGGUCAAUGGGCGAGAGCCUGAACCAGCCAAGUAGCGUGCAGGACGACGGCCCUAUGGGGUUGUAAACUGCUUUUAUAAGGGAAUAAAGUGAGUCUCGUGAGACUUUUUGCAUGUACCUUAUGAAUAAGGACCGGCUAAAUUCCGUG